AUGCUGGCGGCGUGCCUAACACAUGCAAGUCGAGCGGCAGCGAGUUUUACACUGAAUUCUGGAAGCUUCUGGGUAAUAUAGAAGAUUUAUUCAAGAAUUUUGUGUAAAAUGUCGGCGAGCGGCGGACGGCUGAGUAACGCGUAGGAAUUUACCUCAAAGUGAGGAAUAACUGCCCGAAAGGGUAGCUAAUGCCGCAUAUGGUCUUCGGAUUAAAGCCUUCGGGCGCUUUGGGAGAAGCCUGCGUUGGAUUAGGUAGUUGGUAGGGUAAUGGCCUACCAAGCCGACGAUCCAUAGCUGGUCUGAGAGGAUGAUCAGCCAGACUGGAACUGAGACACGGUCCAGACUCCUACGGGAGGCAGCAGUGAGGAAUCUUCCACAAUGGGCGAAAGCCUGAUGGAGCAACGCCGCGUGAAGGAUGAAGGCCUUCGGGUUGUAAACUUCCUUUAUGAGUGAAGAAUAUGACGGUAACUCAUGAAUAAGCACCGGCUAACUACGUGCCAGCAGCCGCGGUCAUACGUAGGGUGCGAGCAUUAUCCGGAGUGACUGGGCGUAAAGAGUUGCGUAGGCGGUUUAAUAAGUGAAUAGUGAAACCUGGUGGCUCAACCAUACAGACUAUUAUUCAAACUGUUAAACUCGAGAAUGGUAGAGGUAACUGGAAUUUCUAGUGUAGGAGUGAAAUCCGUAGAUAUUAGAAGGAACACCGAUGGCGUAGGCAGGUUACUGGGCCAUUUCUGACGCUAAGGCACGAAAGCGUGGGGAGCGAACCGGAUUAGAUACCCGGGUAGUCCACGCCGUAAACGAUGGAUACUAGCUGUUGGAGGUAUCGACCCCUUCAGUAGCGAAGCUAACGCGUUAAGUAUCCCGCCUGUGGAGUACGGCCGCAAGGCUAAAACAUAAAGGAAUUGACGGGGACCCGCA
rnacentral:rRNA from 1 species